CUGCAAGAAUUUGAAGUUUCUGAUGUACAGAUUGUUAAGGAAUACAUUGAGAAGGGAAAUGCAGCAAGAAGUACAGGAUCUACUGGUGCUAACGAGGAAUCUUCAAGGUCACAUGCUAUCUUACAGCUUGCUGUUAAGAAGCACAGCGAGGCAAAAGACUCCAGGAGGAAUAAUGAUGGGAAUGAGUCUAAAAGUGGAAAAGUGAUUGGGAAAAUUUCUUUUAUUGAUCUUGCUGGUAGUGAACGAGGUGCUGACACCACAGAUAAUGACCGACAAACAAGGAUUGAAGGUGCUGAAAUUAAUAAGAGCCUUUUGGCCCUUAAGGAAUGCAUUCGUGCUCUGGACAAUGACCAGAUUCAUAUACCAUUUCGCGGAAGCAAACUCACAGAAGUACUCCGUGACUCCUUUGUUGGAAACUCUAGGACAGUUAUGAUCUCUUGUAUUUCUCCAAAUGC
rnacentral:misc_RNA from 1 species